UACGUAGGGACCAAGCGUUGUUCGGAUUUACUGGGCGUAAAGGGCGCGUAGGCGGCAAUUCAAGUCAUCUGUGAAAUCUCCGGGCUUAACCCGGAACGGUCAGGUGAUACUGUUUUGCUAGAGUGCGGAAGGGGCGAAUCGGAAUUCUCGGUGUAGCGGUGAAAUGCGUAGAUAUCGAGAGGAACACCAGAGGUGAAGACGGGUUGCUGGGCCGACACUGACGCUGACAGCGCGAAAGCCAGGGGAGCAAACGGG
rnacentral:rRNA from 1 species